rnacentral:rRNA from 1 species
AUUGAACGCUGGCGGCAGGCCUAACACAUGCAAGUCGAGCGGCAGCGGGACCUUCGGGUUGCCGGCGAGCGGCGGACGGGUGAGUAAUGCCUAGGAAUCUGCCUGUUAGUGGGGGAUAACGCGGGGAAACUCGCGCUAAUACCGCAUACGUCCUACGGGGGAAAGCGGGGGCUCUUCGGACCUCGCGCUAACAGAUGAGCCUAGGUCGGAUUAGCUAGUUGGUGGGGUAAUGGCCCACCAAGGCGACGAUCCGUAACUGGCCUGAGAGGAUGAUCAGUCACACUGGAACUGAGACACGGUCCAGACUCCUACGGGAGGCAGCAGUGGGGAAUAUUGGACAAUGGGCGAAAGCCUGAUCCAGCCAUGCCGCGUGUGUGAAGAAGGUCUUCGGAUUGUAAAGCACUUUAAGUCGGGAGGAAGGGCUGUAGGCUAAUACCUUGCAGUUUUGACGUUACCGACAGAAUAAGCACCGGCUAACUUCGUGCCAGCCGCCGCCGUAA